GGGAUACUGGGAAUCAAUGCAGUAGGUCAGAUGAUAAACAGCCUAUGUCUGUACCUAAAAUGGAAAAGAGGAAGGACAAACCAUGUGAGAAACAUAGAGGGGAACAAAAGGAGUGAUGGAGAUCUAAAGAGGAGCACAGAAUAUUGUUUUAUUGUGUAGGAAGGGACCACAGAAUGGAGACAUGGGGAGUGAUAGUUCAGUGUCUCUCUGUUUAGGUUGACAGAUGAGACCUGAGGCGUGGAUUAAUGUAAUUGCUAUUAAAUUAAUUCAAUUACUAUUUGCUUUUAAUUUUUCAGAUAAAAAAAGGAAGCAAAACAAACUUUGGGAUUAAAAAAAUCAUUUUGAGGGAGGCCUGACCCACAUGAGUGUAAAGCACUGAUUGCCUCUAUAUAUUGAAGGAGACACACAAAUGUAGUAGGCUACAGAUCCUUCAGCCACCUUCAGCCACAUCCUGCAACUGCUUGCUUUGUCAGUGCAAACAAGUGCUCACCUCUCCUCAGACAGCUAUUUCACAAAGCAGAACAGACUUGAAAGACCUCAAACCCCAUUGCAAAUGGAGGAAGUCAGAACAUAUUUUGGAGGACGUCAAAGGCCAGCGGCUGUUCCCAAAUGCUACAUGAAUGAAGACCAACUUUGCACAGAUUAUAGGGGAAACACAUGGAUGUGCCAUUUUGCAUCAGAGCCAAAGAAAGAACAGACCCUGGUCAUUUGUAAUUUAUCAGGAUCAAUACAGAAACAACCUGUUGGUGAUUCUUCUCUUAAAAAUGGAGAGAUUGUCCCAGUAUUUUUGGUGGCAUUUCUCUCCUUGUGCUUUGAGAUGUCUCCAUGGCCUUUAAAAUUGGAUGCAAGUAGUGUUUAGAUCUAUGAAGCUCCAUGAAACUUACUUCAAAAGGAGUAUUGCUGGGGCUGCUUUUUGGUUUGCUGCUUUUUUGCUCCAGGCACUGAUCUCAC
rnacentral:lncRNA from 1 species